ACUACGGGUGGCAGCAGUGGGGAAUAUUGGGCAAUGGGCGCAAGCCUGACCCAGCAACGCCGCGUGAAGGAAGAAGGCUUUCGGGUUGUAAACUUCUUUUCUCAGGGACGAAGCAAGUGACGGUACCGGAGGAAUAAGCCACGGCUAACUACGGGCCAGCAGCCGCGGUAAAAAGUAGGGGGCAAGAGUUAUCCGGAUUUACUGGGUGUAAAGGGCGUGUAGGCGGGACUGCAAGGCAGAUGUGAAAACCACGGGCUCAACCUGUAGCCUGCAUUUGUAACUGUCGUUCUGUCGUACUGGAGAGGCCGACGGAAUUCCUAGUGUAGCGGUGAAAUGCGUAGAUAUUAGGAGGAACACCAGUGGCGAAGGCGGUCUGCUUGACAGCAACUGACGCUGAGGCGC
rnacentral:rRNA from 1 species